rnacentral:rRNA from 1 species
GACCUCGGAUCAGGUAGGGAUACCCGCUGAACUUAAGCAUAUCAAUAAGCGGAGGAAAAGAAACCAACAGGGAUUGCCUCAGUAACGGCGAGUGAAGCGGCAACAGCUCAAAUUUGAAAUCUGGCCCCUCCGGGGUCCGAGUUGUAAUUUGUAGAGGGUGUUUCGGGCGACGCGCCGGUCUAAGUCCCUUGGAACGGGGCGUCAUAGAGGGUGAGAAUCCCGUAUGCGACCGGCGACCGAGCCCAUGUGAAACCCCUUCGACGAGUCGAGUUGUUUGGGAAUGCAGCUCAAAACGGGUGGUAAAUUCCAUCUAGGUCUAAAUACCGGCCAGAGACCGAUAGCGCACAAGUAGAGUGAUCGAAAGAUGAAAAGCACUUGGAAAGAGAGUCAACAGUACGUGAAAUUGUUGAAAGGGAAGCGCUUGCAACCAGACCUGCCCGCGGGCGAUCAGCCGUCCUUCUGGGCGGUGCACUCGCCCGCGAUCAGGCCAGCAUCGGUUCGGGCGGUCGGAUAAAGGCCUCGGGAACGUGGCUCCCCUCGGGGAGUGUUAUAGCCCUUGGUGCAAUGCGGCCUGCCCGGACCGAGGACCGCGCUUCGGCUAGGAUGCUGGCGUAAUGGUUGUAAGCGGCCCGUCUUGAAACACGGACCAAGGAGUCGACCAACUAUGCGAGUGUUUGGGCGUCAAACCCACACGCGCAAUGAAAGUGAACGGAGGUGGGAACCCCUCGCGGGGCGCACCAUCGACCGAUCCAGAUGUCUUCGGAUGGAUUUGAGUACGAGCAUAGCUGGUCGGACCCGAAAGAUGGUGAACUAUGCCUGAAUAGGGUGAAGCCAGAGGAAACUCUGGUGGAGGCUCGCAGCGGUUCUGACGUGCAAAUCGAUCGUCAAAUUUGGGCAUAGGGCGAAAGACUAAUCGAACCAUCUAGUAGCUGGUUCCAGCCGAAGU